rnacentral:rRNA from 1 species
UACGUAGGGUGCAAGCGUUAAUCGGAAUUACUGGGCGUAAAGCGUGCGCAGGCGGUUUUGUAAGUCUGUCGUGAAAGCCCCCGGGCUUAACCUGGGAAUUGCGAUGGAGACUGCAAGGCUUGAAUCUGGCAGAGGGGGGGUAGAAUUCCACGUGUAGCAGUGAAAUGCGUAGAGAUGUGGAGGAACACCGAUGGCGAAGGCAGCCCCCCUGGGUCAAGAUUGACGCUCAUGCACGAAAGCGUGGGGAGCAAACAGG